AAGAUUAAAAGAUAUGUUAAAAAAAAUUAAGGACCUCAAGCUAUAAAAUAUUUCUACAAUCAGUUUAUUAUGAUGAUUUUGCCGAUAUUGCAAACAGUAUAGCUAAAGAGUGCGAUACUUUCCAAACAAGAGGCCGGACGAGCUUUCCAUUUCUCAGUAGUAAGGUUAAGCGGUAAUAAAAUCUAUUUGCAUCGAAUUGGGAAAUAAUUAUUGACACGGAGCUUUACCGAGUUUGAAAGUACAGAGUAAAUAAUUGGUUUGAAAAAGGAGGAAUCAUACAUCAACUCCUUGGUCGAACAUCGCCUAUUCCUAAUGAUUAUUGCGCAUGGAUGUGUUUGUGAAAUGUGACGUCCGUGGCUCGGCAUCGUUGUCAAUGGCAUGUGCGGAAUUUAUUCGAACGAUAGUUUCAAUGAUGUCUCAGCAACGGGAUUGAACGCAAUGGGGAAGGAUGUUGAAAUUGGCGAUAGACGUUAAGUCGCUGUAGAACGUUAAGGGGGCAUAGCGUAAUAUUCGAAGAGAUCAUCGCGGGAGCGUCGGAAGGAACGAAGUUGCAGGUUACGUACUGUUUGGCACCACCAUGGCACAGUCAACAACAAGCGGAACUUCCUCGCGGCGAUACAUGAGGGAACACGAUGUGCCGUCCACAUCACGGUACGUGGACAGCGAAUGGGAGUCCAAAGAGGCCUUACGACAGAGAGAACUGGAGGAAGCAAGAGCACGCGCGGCACAGAUGGAGAAGACAAUGCGAUGGUGGUCGGAUUGUACCGCUAAUUGGCGUGAGAAGUGGAGUAAGGUUCGGAAUGAAAGGAACAUGGCCAGAGAAGAGGUGAAGGUUCUCAGAGCGAAAUUAGAGAUUGCGGUGAAGGAUGCUAAUACCUUCAAGCAUGAGUCGCAGGAGAUGGAGCUGCAAAAUGAACAGCUGAAGAAAGAAAUGGAGAAGAUACAUAUGAUACUAUUGAAGCACGCCGGACAAUUUGACCAACAGAUCUUCACUGUCUUAGAGUCGGAUCCACAUCUGAGAACCACCUUUGGGUUAGAUGAGCAAUUAGAGUUUUAUAAUAACGUCGAGCCCAGUGAUAUGUUAAGUGUUCAAAAGGACUUGAUGUCCUGUAAAAAUUCGCACGAAGCUCCGAGCGUUGCUUCGAGCAGUCAUAACAUCUUGCCAGGUAGAGUCAUCGAGGAGUACGUCUUGCAAGGUGCGGUGCCAAAGCAUGCUGUAGAAUUAUACAAGGAAAGCUCUAGUAAUUUGUUAGAUAAAAACGUCACGAAACUAGUCGCCAAUAAUAGUGCCAUGAAGGACGCACCGGGGAAACAGCAAUUAAAUUCGUACAAUGAAGAGUCGUUGAGCCAGAAAAUGUCAGCGUUGCAGCUGAAAUUGGAAGAAGCGACGAAAACCAUUUCCGUGGAGAGAGAAGAGAAGAAUUCUUUACAUCAUACUGUGGAGAAACUGAAAGCCGAGAUCAAACAAUUGAGGGAACAGUGCGAUGAAUUGCACGAAAGUAGAGCCGACGCGAUGAGAGAGUUAUUGGAUUUGAAAGAACGUUUCCAGAUUGAGCUCAGUGACGCACAGGCUGACUUGAUGGACGAGACGAUCGACGGAGAGGGCAUGGACCGUCGUUUGAAUGAAUUGAGAGCCGAACUGGAGAAGCUUCAGACUGAAAAUGCAGUGGAGUGGGACAAACGGGAGAAACUGGAGACUGCGAAGAUUUCUCUGGAACGAGAGAACAAACGGCUGCGGCUCAAGAUACACGAUCUGCAAGAGAGAAUAGAUUCACGACGGCCACGUCCGGUGUCUACGGCUGAUACGGAUACGAGGCAACUGCAGCAAGAACUCAUCGUUCGUAAUAUGGUGUUGCUCGAAGUGAAGCAAUAUCAGACUAUACUGAAGCAAUCCCUGGCGGAGAAAAGCACGGAAUUAUCGCAUGCGAUGAGACGGUCCGAGCAGUACGAGGCGGAGGUGAAGCGAGUGAGAGGCAGAGUCGAGGAGUUGAAGAAAGAGCUGGUCGCUGCUCAGGACGAGGUCGACGCUGCCACGAACAGCUUACGAAAAUUGCAACGGGCGAACGAGGAUCUCAUGGAACAACUGGAAUCCGCAAAUGUGCAAUUGGAGCAUUUUAGAAACAGCAAUAGUGAGUCGUGUACAGCGGAUGCCGGAAUAGAACAAAUAGAGGAAGAAAAGUUCCAAGCUAACAAUUCCGAUGAAUCCGCGGAGGGUAUGUUACUAAUUUAGUCGAUGCGCUUAAGUGUCGCAGCUUUUGAAUGGCAAGACAAAUGGCAACUAAUGGCUUCUGCAUCUGCGAUAAACCGAAAGCCUAGUAUUCGCUCGUGUUGAUGGCAACGACUUGCUUGAUCCAGGUAAACGAAAAUGCAAAUCGGAUGGGUGAUAUGCUAGCGGGCCUAAGGUAUUUAACGACAUAAUUUUAUUUUUGGACGUUUAACGACAUAACGGAUCGAUAGAUAUAAGUGCUGCGUUCGGCGGAGAAAGCAGCUUUGCAACUGUUGCAAAGCUGCUUUCCCUGUCGAAUGUAGCUAUUGCUUCGGCGUUUGAAUAAUCAAAUUGUACACGUAGAAAAUAGAUAGAUACGUAGAAUACGAUAUGAACGUCGUGAGUGCCUAUUAUGGUAUUUAACAACUAAUUUAAAACAUCAGUACUUCCAGUAGCGUAUAUGUACAUGUGUAUAGACAACUGAUAGUGCAUUAAUAUAAGGUAUAAAUUUAAUCGUUUGUCGAUCGAUAAAGGUCCGUCUACAUCUAUUGUAAAUGUCAGUCAUAACUGGUCGUUGGAUGCUGCCGUAAAAAAUCAUCAGAAAAAUUGGCUGAACUUCGACUGACUUCGAUUUUGUACGAUGCUUGCCUGGCUUUGCAACGAUUUCUUUCCAUAUUACUACUAUGACCGGUUUUACGAUAGAUGUACAUACGACAUUCGUUAACAAAUACGCAAAAAAUUUAAAUUUUUCUCUUUAAAACGCUCGUAUCACAUUUUCGAAUCAAAUAAUUUUUCGUUCUGAAAACUCAACUGAAAGACGAAGUUUGAAAUUGAGCGGUCGCCAUUUUUCGUUUAACUCGAAAUCAUAACGAAAGUUAACGACAACAUUAAUAUAGCUAAUGUGAUUAAAAACUAGAGACUUCAAGCUUUAAAGUGCUUCUUAAACGAUCUCCAUAGCGUCAUUUUUACAAAAGUUAUAGCUUGUUGAAUUUCGCCUAUGUUUUUCAUUAUAAUGGAUAGUACGUCUGGCCAACCCUUGAGUCAUGCUACUUGAAAAAAAAUAGAAAUAUUUCCGACUCCAUCGUUUAGUCAUAUCACGACCCCAAUUUCUUAUAAAGUAUAGUGGCGACUCGUAACGGGGAUUUUGGAACUAAAUUACGGAAAUAACGGGUCUAAUAAUUCUGUAAACCCGUUAUUUCUGCAAUGGGUACAUUAUUAAUGCAUCUUGAGGAAAUUUAAACACAGAUCUGUUUCCUUCAGUUGCACUUUCUACAUUUUUCUCUACUCGAUCUCGAAACCUCAAUAUUUCAUCUUAAGCAUAGAAAGUGUAACUAAAACAGAUGUGUAUUUUGAUGUUUACAAUCCAAAUAUAAAAGAUAGACUUGCUGUUCUCCAUCGUGGGAGGAGUAAUAAAGCCUUAAAGUAGCCCUAGUAUAAGGCACCGUCUAUAUUCUUCUUAUGUCAGUAGUCGUGCAGUAUUUACUGCUUAUACUCGAUUUAUAUAUACUCAAACGUGAAACUGUGUUCAUCUUCAUCGUUAUACUUUCUGUAGAUACUCAUUUCAUCGUCAUUCAUAUAUUCGUUUUUUUACUUUUAUAAAUUAUAAACGUAAACGUCUCACUUUCAUUUCUCAUUUACGCGCCUUUUGUAAACAGUUCAUAUCUCGCGUUUAUUGUUUUAUAUGUAUUUUUUUUUU